CAAAUUGAAAUUUAUAUUCUUCAGUCUGAUAAACUAUUUUUGUUAGAAUUUUUCAUUGAUGAAUUCUUUAAGUAGCCGAAUCAUACUUUUGACAGGAUUUGAAUUUCUAUGUCCAUGGGAGUUUUAACUAGAGAAACGAUAAUGAAAGAAGUCAUCCUGGUAAAUGACGACAAAUUUUUAUAUAACAUACAAGGCACUGGUUAAAUUUUUUCAAUUCACUUCGGUUAAGAGGCAUUAAUUUUAGGAAAUGACAUUUUUCAAACAAUGCGGG
rnacentral:lncRNA from 1 species